rnacentral:rRNA from 1 species
UCGAGGAUCUUCGGCAAUGAGCGCAAGCUUGACCGAGCGACGCCGCGUGAGCGAUGAAGGCCUUCGGGUUGUAAAGCUCUUUAGUGGGGGAGAAAAGCCCGCAAGGGUGUGAUCUAUCCCAAAAAUAAGCACGGGCUAAGUUCGUGCCAGCAGCCGCGGUAAGACGAACCGUGCGAACGUUGUUCGGAAUCACUGGGCUUAAAGGGCGCGUAGGCGGGCUGACAAGUCUGGGGUGAAAUGCCGCGGCUCAACCGUGGAACUGCCUUAGAUACUGUCGGCCUCGAGGAAGGUAGGGGCAUGCGGAACUGUAGGUGGAGCGGUGAAAUGCGUUGAUAUCUACAGGAACUCCGGUGGCGAAAGCGGCGUGCUGGACCUUUUCUGACGCUGAGGCGCGAAAGCUAGGGGAGCAAACG